rnacentral:rRNA from 1 species
UACGUAGGGUGCAAGCGUUAAUCGGAAUUAUUGGGCGUAAAGCGUGCGCAGGCGGUUUUGUAAGUCUGUCGUGAAAUCCCCGGGCUCAACCUGGGAAUGGCGAUGGAGACUGCAAGGCUGGAAUCUGGCAGAGGGGGGUAGAAUUCCACGUGUAGCAGUGAAAUGCGUAGAGAUGUGGAGGAACACCGAUGGCGAAGGCAGCCCCCUGGGCUAAGAUUGACGCUCAUGCACGAAAGCGUGGGGAGCAAACAGG